UCCCUUCUGCUGUAGGAUGGAGUGUUCCUGAGAUGGACUGUGAAGAAGGAUGGGCCUUGCUGAAGUGUGGAAAAAGGAACUACGAGCCAGCUCAGGACUGCUUUGAAAAGGCUCUGCAUGCCUGUAAAUUAAGAGACUGCGGAGUUCCUUGA
rnacentral:lncRNA from 1 species